rnacentral:rRNA from 1 species
UACAGAGGGGCAAGCGUUGUUCGGAAUUACUGGGCGUAAAGGGCGCGUAGGCGGCCUUCUAAGUCAGACGUGAAAUCCCGGCUCAACCGGAACUGCGUCUGAGACUGGAAGGCUCGAAUCGGAGAGGGAUGCGGAAUUCCAGGUGUAGCGGUGAAAUGACGUAGAUAUCUGGAGGAACACCGGUGGCGAAGGCGGCAUCCUGGACCGGCAUUGACGCUGAGG